rnacentral:rRNA from 1 species
UGGGGAAUAUUGCACAAUGGGCGGAAGCCUGAUGCAGCGACGCCGCGUGAGGGAUGACGGCCUUCGGGUUGUAAACCUCUUUCAGUAGGGACGAAGCGUAAGUGACGGUACCUACAGAAGAAGCAACGGCUAAAUACGUGCCAGCAGCCGCGGUAAUACGUAUGUUGCGAGCGUUAUCCGGAAUUAUUGGGCUUAAAGGGCAUCUAGGCGGUAAGACAAGUUGAAGGUGAAAACCUGUGGCUCAACCAUAGGCUUGCCUACAAAACUGUUGAACUAGAGUACUGGAAAGGUGGGUGGAACUACACGAGUAGAGGUGAAAUUCGUAGAUAUGUGUAGGAAUGCCGAUGAUGAAGAUAACUCACUGGACAGAAACUGACGCUGAAGUGCGAAAGCUAGGGGAGCAAACAGG